rnacentral:tmRNA from 1 species
GGGGCUGACAGGUUUCGACGUCAGAUUCACUGGGCGGGCGUGCGACCCGAGUUGCUCAGACUCGCUAAACGGGGCACAAAAAUGAAUUGCCAACGAGCAGUUCGCUCUCGCCGCCUAAUUAGUUAGGUAGUGAAGAGACAUCGUGACCAGAAAUGGCGCACGGGGCCGAUUCACCGCAGCCUGGCACCAGAAGCGGGGAAUGACAGUGGGAAAGACCACUGGCGUCGGGAAAGACCGAUGACGAUUCGGAAAGACGAUUCGCGGGCCACCGGGCAACCGAUGGUCAGCCGACCCGCCGGUCUUCCUGCGUUAGGAAGAGAGUCGGGAACGGUCGUAGCACGUACGUUCAAUGCCUGAUGGACGGGGGUUCGAUUCCCCCCAGCUCCACUU